UACAGAGGUCUCAAGCGUUGUUCGGAAUCACUGGGCGUAAAGCGCGUGUAGGCGGUCUGCUAAGUCUGAUGUGAAAGCCCGGGGCUCACCCCCGGAAGUGCAUUGGAAACUGACAGACUGGAGUCCCGGAGAGGAGGGUGGAAUUCCUGGUGUAGCGGUGAAAUGCGUAGAUAUCAGGAGGAACACCGGUGGCGAAGGCGGCCCUCUGGACGGUGACUGGCGCUGAGACGCGAAAGCGUGGGGAGCAAACAGG
rnacentral:rRNA from 1 species